rnacentral:rRNA from 1 species
AUUCCAGCUCCAAUAGUGUAUAUUAAAGUUGUUGCAGUUAAAAAGCUCGUAGUUGAAUUUCUGGAUUGAACUUUCGGUCCGAGGCCUAGCGUCUUGCGUACUGUUUUUGUUUCUAUCCAUCUUAGUAGUAAGUGUAACUGGCAUUAACUUGUCGGCUGCAGGAGCUGCUUCGUUUACUGUGAAUAAAAUAGAGUGUUUAAAGCAGGCAUUACGCCUUGAAUACUUCAGCAUGGAAUAAAAUUAUAGGACUUAGGUGCUAUUUUAUUGGUUUGCACACCUAGUAAUGAUUAAUAGGGAUAGUUGGGGGUAUUCAUAUUUGAUUGUCAGAGGUGAAAUUCUCGGAUUUAUGAAAGAUGAACUUAUGCGAAAGCAUUUACCAAGGAUGUUUUCAUCA